UACGAAGGGGGCUAGCGUUGCUCGGAAUUACUGGGCGUAAAGGGCGCGUAGGCGGCUUGAUGUGUCAAAGGUGAAAUCCCUCGGCUCAACUGAGGAACUGCCUUUGAAACUGUCUGGCUUGAGGCCGGGAGAGGGUAGCGGAAUUCCCAGUGUAGCGGUGAAAUGCGUAGAUACUGGGAGGAACACCGGUGGCGAAGGCGGCUAACUGGCCGAGACCUGACGCUGAGACGCGACGGCGUGGGG
rnacentral:rRNA from 1 species